GCAUUCCUACAACAUUGCGUGAAUGCACCGGAUCCCAUUAGAACUUCGUAGUUAAGCACGGUCAAGCUAGAGUAGUCAGUCACCCAUCCCAAUACUACUCUAGCCUGAGUGUGUGGAGUUCU
rfam:Picea glauca, whole genome shotgun sequence.